GCAAGUCGAACGAGAAACCUAUCUUCGGAUAGGGAGUAAAGUGGCGCACGGGUGAGUAACGCGUGAGUAACCUACCUCCGCUGUUCGGGAUAACGUCGGGAAACUGGCGCUAAUACCAGAAUGAAGUCUCCGGCUGCAGGGUUUGGAGACCAAAGCAGGCCUCUCCAUGGAAGCUUGCGCAGGGAGAUGGGCUCGCGUCCCAUUAGCUAGUUGGUAGGGUAAAAGCCUACCAAGGCGACGAUGGGUAGCCGGGCUGAGAGGCUGUCCGGCCACACUGGAACUGAAACACGGUCCAGACUCCUACGGGAGGCAGCAGUGAGGAAUUUUGCGCAAUGGACGAAAGUCUGACGCAGCGACGCCGCGUGGGCGACGAAGCUCUUUGGAGUGUAAAGCCCUGUCAGGUGGGACGAAUCCGGAGGGAGUGAACAACUCGCCUUCGCUGACGGUACCACCAGAGGAAGCCCCGGCUAACUCCGUGCCAGCAGCCGCGGUAAUACGGAGGGGGCGAGCGUUGUUCGGAAUCACUGGGUGUAAAGGGUGCGUAGGCGGUCCGAUAAGUCUGAUGUGAAAGCCCUGGGCUCAACUCAGGAACUGCAUUGGAAACUGACGGGCUUAGAGUACCGGAGAGGGAAGCGGAAUUCCUGGUGUAGCGGUGAAAUGCGUAGAUACCAGGAGGAACACCGGUGGCGAAGGCGGUUUCCUGGCCGAGUACUGACGCUGAGGCACGAAAGCGUGGGGAGCGAACGGGAUUAGAUACCCCGGUAGUCCACCCUGUAACGAUGGGUGCUAGGUGUUGGAGGUAUCGA
rnacentral:rRNA from 1 species